GCGAGCGUAGUCUAGCGGUUAUGAUGUCUGCUUUACAUGAGUAAUGUGAAGCGCAGAAGGUCGGGAGUUCGAUCCUCCCCGCUCGUA